AUAUGACAUAAAAUUGAGAAUGGAAAUGGGGAAUGUGUCAAAGAGACAACAACCCGACCAUAGAAAAAACAACAGCAGACGGUGACCAACAGGUCUUCAAUGUAGCGAGAAAUUCCCGCACCCGGAGGCGUCCUUCAGCUGGCCCCUAAACAAAUAUAUACUAGGUCAGUGAUAAUGAACGCCAUACUAAUUUCCAAAUUGUACACAAGAAACUAAAAUUAAAAUAAUACAAGACUAACAAAGGCC
rnacentral:lncRNA from 1 species